AAAUUGAAGAGUUUGAUCAUGGCUCAGAUUGAACGCUGGCGGCAGGCCUAACACAUGCAAGUCGAACGGUAACAGGAAGCAGCUUGCUGCUUGCUGACGAGUGGCGGACGGGUGAGUAAUGUCUGGGAAACUGCCUGAUGGAGGGGGAUAACUACUGGAAACGGUGGCUAAUACCGCAUAACGUCGCAAGACCAAAGAGGGGGACCUUCGGGCCUCUUGCCAUCAGAUGUGCCCAGAUGGGAUUAGCUUGUUGGUGAGGUAACGGCUCACCAAGGCGACGAUCCCUAGCUGGUCUGAGAGGAUGACCAGCCACACUGGAACUGAGACACGGUCCAGACUCCUACGGGAGGCAGCAGUGGGGAAUAUUGCACAAUGGGCGCAAGCCUGAUGCAGCCAUGCCGCGUGUAUGAAGAAGGCCUUCGGGUUGUAAAGUACUUUCAGCGGGGAGGAAGGUGUUGUGGUUAAUAACCGCAGCAAUUGACGUUACCCGCAGAAGAAGCACCGGCUAACUCCGUGCCAGCAGCCGCGGUAAUACGGAGGGUGCAAGCGUUAAUCGGAAUUACUGGGCGUAAAGCGCACGCAGGCGGUCUGUCAAGUCGGAUGUGAAAUCCCCGGGCUCAACCUGGGAACUGCAUUCGAAACUGGCAGGCUUGAGUCUUGUAGAGGGGGGUAGAAUUCCAGGUGUAGCGGUGAAAUGCGUAGAGAUCUGGAGGAAUACCGGUGGCGAAGGCGGCCCCCUGGACAAAGACUGACGCUCAGGUGCGAAAGCGUGGGGAGCAAACAGGAUUAGAUACCCUGGUAGUCCACGCCGUAAACGAUGUCUACUUGGAGGUUGUGCCCUUGAGGCGUGGCUUCCGGAGCUAACGCGUUAAGUAGACCGCCUGGGGAGUACGGCCGCAAGGUUAAAACUCAAAUGAAUUGACGGGGGCCCGCACAAGCGGUGGAGCAUGUGGUUUAAUUCGAUGCAACGCGAAGAACCUUACCUGGUCUUGACAUCCACGGAAGUUCUCAGAGAUGAGAAUGUGCCUUCGGGAACCGUGAGACAGGUGCUGCAUGGCUGUCGUCAGCUCGUGUUGUGAAAUGUUGGGUUAAGUCCCGCAACGAGCGCAACCCUUAUCCUUUGUUGCCAGCGAUUAGGUCGGGAACUCAAAGGAGACUGCCAGUGAUAAACUGGAGGAAGGUGGGGAUGACGUCAAGUCAUCAUGGCCCUUACGACCAGGGCUACACACGUGCUACAAUGGCGCAUACAAAGAGAAGCGACCUCGCGAGAGCAAGCGGACCUCAUAAAGUGCGUCGUAGUCCGGAUUGGAGUCUGCAACUCGACUCCAUGAAGUCGGAAUCGCUAGUAAUCGUGGAUCAGAAUGCCACGGUGAAUACGUUCCCGGGCCUUGUACACACCGCCCGUCACACCAUGGGAGUGGGUUGCAAAAGAAGUAGGUAGCUUAACCUUCGGGAGGGCGCUUACCACUUUGUGAUUCAUGACUGGGGUGAAGUCGUAACAAGGUAACCGUAGGGGAACCUGCGGUUGGAUCACCUCCUUACCUUAAAGAAGC
rnacentral:rRNA from 1 species